AUUGAACGCUGGCGGCAUGCCUUACACAUGCAAGUCGAACGGCAGCACGGGAGCAAUCCUGGUGGCGAGUGGCGAACGGGUGAGUAAUAUAUCGGAACGUGCCCAGUCGUGGGGAUAACGUAGCGAAAGCUACGCUAAUACCGCAUACGAUCUAUGGAUGAAAGCGGGGGAUCGCAAGACCUCGCGCGAUUGGAGCGGCCGAUAUCAGAUUAGGUAGUUGGUGAGGUAAAGGCUCGCCAAGCCGACGAUCUGUAGCUGGUCUGAGAGGACGACCAGCCACACUGGGACUGAGACACGGCCCAGACUCCUACGGGAGGCAGCAGUGGGGAAUUUUUGGACAAUGGGCGCAAGCCUGAUCCAGCAAUGCCGCGUGCAGGAUGAAGCCUCGG
rnacentral:rRNA from 1 species